GUCUUUAUAAAUGUUAUUUUGGUUCACAAGUGUUUUAAAUGGAAAAUGAAGAUCUGAUGACUAUUAAUAAAAAAUAAUAAUAAUUCAAAUGAAGGAAGACAGCAAGCUGAAGAAUGCCAUGUGCACACCAGGCAUGGUCAGGGUGGGUACGUGUCCUGGGCAGGUGCUGGAACAGGAGCCCACCUCCUCCAGCAGCGGCCAAGCCCCACAGGACCCUGCUCCCCCAGCCCAGAAAGCAGGACCAGGACCAGAAAGCGGACCAGGACCAGGACCAGGAGGUCCAUCGCGCUGCUCACAAACCAAUUUACAUACUGGUUUACAUAUUGCUUUUGGAGACUAUGCACUGAAGGUAACAUUUUCUUUUAAGCAUGAAUUUUUCCUGCUCUAAGGAACCGGCUUUGGCAGGGGGGUUGGACCCGAUGAUCUUUUGAGGUCCCUUCCAACCCCUUCAAUUCUGUGAUUCUGUGAUUUCCAGCCUCUUAAACACGAAUAACAGGCCUGGGUCCAUUUGCAACCCGACUAUUUAAGAAAAAGUCAGAGAAUUAUUCUUUUGGUACUAUAGCAUAUGUGUUUUCUUGUCAAAAUUAAAUGUUUGACACAAGGGAAUAAUUUGCUCGCACAAAGACAGAGUUUUCCCAGUGGCUCCUCUAGCCCAGUGGGUGCACACUGUAUUACUGCACUUGUUAAAAGAUUCCUCAUUGUUCCACCGUGAUUCAUCGUCACCCGCUCCACAAACACCAGGCUGUAAUUGCUCUGAUAGCUGGUUACUUCCAGCUGGGUUCACAUUCACUGUCAUCAGCUUCAACUAGUUCAGCCUAUUUCUACACUUCCUCUCACACUCUUUUCUUCAUUAAGAUUGUCAUGAAGCCGAUUCUAUUACUAAGUCCUUUUACACAGACUAAGCACUUGUUUCUUACACUGCCAUCAACAGUCAUUUAAUGACUUCUGCUCAUCAGAAGGUUUGAUGUUUCCCAAAGCUGAUGAACAUCACCCAAAUCUUUCUUUUUUACAGUGGUUUUAGUUUGCUUCUCCCCAGAUAACGUAACAGAAAUACUGCAGAGAGCUUUUCAAGACUCUGUAUUCUCUCCUCCCACUUUCUUCCAAGAUUUGUGCUGGAAAGGAAUAGGAACUACAUACAAUGAGCAGAAUUAAAAAUAAUGAUAAAAUAAUGACAAGAAUUCUUUGACAGGACAUAUUGCUAAAUUUUUUCUAAAAUAACCUAAUAGGGAACUCAAACAUCAAUUCAUUAACCAGAAGCAGCUGUCCAAUAAAACCAGAUUGUAAUGGCA
rnacentral:lncRNA from 1 species